rnacentral:misc_RNA from 1 species
GAUGAAGAACGCAGCGAAAUGCGAUAAGUAAUGUGAAUUGCAGAAUUCAGUGAAUCAUCGAAUCUUUGAACGCACAUUGCGCCCGCCAGUAUUCUGGCGGGCAUGCCUGUUCGAGCGUCAUUUCAACCCUCAGGCCCCGCCUGGCGUUGGGGAUCGGCGCGGCCCUCUCCGGGCUGCCGGCCCCGAAAACUAGUGGCGGUCUCGCUGUAGUCCUCCUCUGCGCAGUAGCAACGCUCGCACUGGAACUCGGCGCGGCCACGCCGUAAAACACCCCACUUCUGAUAGUUGACCUCGGAUCAGGUAGGAAUACCCGCUGAACUUAAGCAUAUCAAUAAGCGGAGGA